rnacentral:rRNA from 1 species
GGGGGGGGGGGGGGGGGGGGGGGGGAGGGGGGGGGCGGGGGGGGGGGGGGGGGGGGCGGGGGGGUGGAGCGGGGGGCGGGGGGGGGAGGGCGAGGAGUGUGGCUGGUGGGGGGGGCUGGCGUCCGGGGACGGGCGCUAAUACCGCAUACGUGCUGCGGGAGAGCGUGUGGGGGGGUGGGGCCUCACACUGGGCGAUUGGCCGAGGUCGGCUUCACUCGUCGGUGGGGUAAAGGCCGACCCAGGCGCCGAUCCGUGACUGGCCUGAGAGGAUGAUCAUCCAAACUGGACCUGAGAAACGUUCCAGACUCCUACGGGAGGCAGCAGUGGGGAAUAUUGGCCAAUGGGCGAAAGCCUGAUCCAGCCAUGCCGCGUGUGUGAAGAAGGUCUUCGGAUUGUAAAGCACUUUAAGUUGGGAGGAAGGGCAGUAAGUUAAUACCUUGCUGUUUUGACGUUACCAACAGAAUAAGCACCGGCUAACUUCGUG